AUUGAACGCUGGCGGCAGGCUUAACACAUGCAAGUCGAGCGGAGAAGAGGUGCUUGCAUCUUAUCUUAGCGGCGGACGGGCGAGUAAUGCUUAGGAAUCUGCCUAUUAGUGGGGGACAACAUUCCGAAAGGAAUGCUAAUACCGCAUACGUCCUACGGGAGAAAGCAGGGGAUCUUCGGACCUUGCGCUAAUAGAUGAGCCUAAGUCGGAUUAGCUAGUUGGUAGGUUAAAGGCCUACCAAGGCGACGAUCUGUAGCGGGUCUGAGAGGAUGAUCCGCCCAACUGGGACUGGGACACGGCCCAGACUCCUACGGGAGGCAGCAGUGGGGAAUAUUGGACAAUGGGGGGAACCCUGAUCCAGCCAUGCCGCGUGUGUGAAGAAGGCCUUAUGGUUGUAAAGCACUUUAAGCGAGGAGGAGGCUACUGAGACUAAUACUCUUGGAUAGUGGACGUUACUCGCAGAAUAAGCACCGGCUAACUCUGUGCCAGCCGCCGCAGUAACAC
rnacentral:rRNA from 1 species